AACGCACAUUGCGCCCUCUGGUAUUCCGGGGGGCAUGCCUGUUCGAGCGUCAUUACACCUCUCAAGCACAGCUUGGUAUUGGGUGGUUGCCCCGGUGGGGUACCCCCGAAAAUCAGCGGCGGAGCAGCCAGAAGAUGAAGCGCAGUAAUAUUUGUUAAUGUAAAUCUCGCUACUGGACCUGUCUGCCCCAGCCGGAAGCCUUCAGCUAUCGUGGUUCUGCCCCGACGGCGAAGAAUUUCUAUGGUUGACCUCGGAUCAGGUAGGGAUACCCGCUGAACUUAA
rnacentral:misc_RNA from 1 species